rnacentral:lncRNA from 1 species
GGCGGAAAAUGGAAACGAACAAAAUCCGAAAAGCGACAGAAAAAACUGUUUCUUACUUCCGUUUGUUCUCCUUGGUUUAGUUGGGGGAGGUUUUUCCUUGGAACUAAUUGGAUAUUUAAAGCUAGAUCCAUUCAAUCGAAGGAAUGAUACAUCAGAUCUUUGCAGAAUACUCCCCUCUAGCAAAUCGUGUACUUUUAAGCCGGAAAAUGAAGAUGUUUUGCCAAAUUCAACGAGAAGUAGGGGUGA